GGGUUGUCCGCGGGCCAGAGACGGUCAGGCUCGCUCUACCGCUCUCAGGCACCUGCCUUUCUCUGCGUUCCGGAAUGCGGCCAAGACCGAAUAAAGGAAAUUACAUAGUAAGCGGAGAUCGGGUGUCUGAGCAGCGCCUUGGAUCAAAUCCACUCAUGACAGGAACUUCUUGCAUCCAUAACCCCUCAGAAUGAAGAUAUGGAAAAAACUGCCUAAUUAUGAAAAUCUUACAUGACAUUUCUAAUAUCUAGGGCCAGCAGGUAAAGGCACCUGCUACCAAACCUGACUAGUACAGGCAAGUGGAGAGAAAGAAUUCAAGAGAUGCAGGCAAGAGGAUCAGAUAAAUGAAGAUUUUGUAUACUGAGACUCAGGACGUUUUGACUCAACCACAUAUCAACCAGUAUUUCUCAAACUGAGGAAUGUUGACUAUUAAAGGACAUUGAGAAAUCAAGAUAGAAAUACCAGACAGUUUCCUGGCAGACUGAUUUCAUGUAUGUUGGGGGAAGCAAGAGGAAACAGACUAAAGUUUAGAGAACUACAUAGAAAUACUACAAGAAGCAACUGAUGUAUUUCUAAGAGAAGGGCACAAUCUGAUCCUCACCUUGGGAAGCCCCCUUUGGAUACAGUGGACGUACAAGUAAAAAGUAAGAAAAUUUCAUAUCGAGGCUGUGUCGACUGAGAAAUGUCUUGCUAUCUAAAGGAAUUUCAAUAUUUGACGGAUGAGGAAUGGGUUCACAAAUCAGCACCAAGCACGUCAUGGGUGGUUUCUUGUACCCACACUGAGCAUGUCAGUAGGUCUGACAGCUCCAUCCAGGGAGAGUGUGUGUAAGACGGCAGUGACUCCCUGGACUGUGGGAGGAGAGUCCACACUUCACAGGAUUAAUUAUUCAUCUGUGCUGAAUUUUGCUUGCAUGUCUAUGGGAGUGUGUCAGAUCUUGGAGUAACAGACCAUUGUGAGCUGCCAUGAGGAUGUGAAUUUGAAGUGGGGUCCCCCCUCCCGAAGAACAGUCAGUGGCCCUAACCACUGAGCCAUCUCUUCAGCCCUUCUCUUACUUCUCUUUUUGAGACAGGGUCUCACUCUGUAGCCUUACCUGGCUUGAAACUAGUUACAUAAACCAGGCUGGCCUGGAAAUCAAGAGAUCUGCCUAUAUCUGCCUCCUAAGUGCUAGGAUUAAAGAACUCACCGGCAUCCAGAAGUUUUCUCACACGUAAAUAACUGAUGGUGAGCCUCAUAACAGAAGCUUUAUCAAGAUGUGAGCUCACAUUGUGGGGAAGUGGCAACUGAUGAGCAAGCUCAUAAAAAACUUCAGACUCUUUGCUUCGCCGAGAUCUUGCUGCAUCUCUAGACUUUUCUUUUCGACGUUCAGAACUCAUCCUACUUAACAAAAAAAAAAAAAGAGAGACAAGAAUGUACAUGUUAGUUUGUCUUAACUCGAAUAAAAUUAAUUUUG
rnacentral:lncRNA from 1 species